rnacentral:lncRNA from 1 species
CUUGAAUAGGAAGAUUGUGAGAUUGUAAAAUAGUGCCUUUUGGGGUUCUGUCAUUAGCAAUUAAAGCUAAGUAUGUGGAGUGUCACCAAAUUCUCAUAGAUGCAAAGUACUAUUUUUAUGUUAUUGCUUUUCAUGCUGAUAUUUAUGAACUUCCAGUGAAGUAUUUUGAACUAAACCCAAAGGUGAAUAUCAGUAUUGAUUACUUAAAUUGUUCCAGCUUCCCAUUUUAUCAUAAAGGAGUUAAAGCACAUUUUGUAGGCCUCAAAAUAUCUUAGAGUUGAAUUUCUUUUCUUUCUUUUUUUAUUGAUAGAAUAUAUUGGUCAUUAAUUAUGAUUACUGGGCUCUUUAUUGCUUCCAAAAAUAUAAAAGCCAUAUUUCAAACUACCUGAAAUUUUAAUGCUUAUUUAACAACUAGGUAGAAGGGGUGAAAAGCAGGGUUAGGGUCUUGUAAUUCUAAAACAGGUGUUAAAAUGAAGUGGAAUGAUCUGUUUUCUUCUACAUCUUAAAGUUAUCCUAUUUGACAAUGCUUAUCAUUUCAGAGAAAUAAAUUACAAUUGUGAUUAUUUUGUAAGCAAUUAAAAAAAGAAUAUUGAUAACAAAAAAUCCCUUUAUAAUCUGAGCAUAAACUAGCAUAUAUAUCAUGUAAAUCUCACACCUCCAAUAUCUUGCACUGGCUUUGACUGAAAUUAUUACAGAACUCACAAAUGAUAUGACACUAUUUACAAU